rnacentral:rRNA from 1 species
GUGGGGAAUUUUGGACAAUGGGCGCAAGCCUGAUCCAGCAAUGCCGCGUGCAGGAAGAAGGCCUUCGGGUUGUAAACUGCUUUUGUACGGAACGAAACGGUCCGGGUUAAUACCCUGGGCUAAUGACGGUACCGUAAGAAUAAGCACCGGCUAACUACGUGCCAGCAGCCGCGGUAAUACGUAGGGUGCAAGCGUUAAUCGGAAUUACUGGGCGUAAAGCGUGCGCAGGCGGUUUUGUAAGACAGGCGUGAAAUCCCCGGGCUCAACCUGGGAACUGCAUUUGUGACUGCAUCGCUGGAGUGCGGCAGAGGGGGAUGGAAUUCCGCGUGUAGCAGUGAAAUGCGUAGAUAUGCGGAGGAACACCGAUGGCGAAGGCAAUCCCCUGGGCCUGCACUGACGCUCAUGCACGAAAGCGUGGGGAGCAAACAGGAUUAGAAACCCGUGUAGUCC